rnacentral:rRNA from 1 species
UACGUAGGGUGCGAGCGUUAAUCGGAAUUACUGGGCGUAAAGCGUGCGCAGGCGGUCUGUUAAGACCGAUGUGAAAUCCCCGGGCUUAACCUGGGAAUUGCAUUUGUGACUGCACGGCUAGAGUGUGUCAGAGGGGGGUAGAAUUCCACGUGUAGCAGUGAAAUGCGUAGAGAUGUGGAGGAAUACCGAUGGCGAAGGCAGCCCCCUGGGAUAACACUGACGCUCAUGCACGAAAGCGUGGGGAGCAAACAGG